UACGGAGGAUGCGAGCGUUAUCCGGAUUUAUUGGGUUUAAAGGGUGCGUAGGCUGAUAUUUAAGUCAGUGGUGAAAUAUUCCGGCUCAACCGGGAGGCUGCCAUUGAAACUGGAUAUCUUGAGUCUGGUCGAGGUGGGCGGAAUGAGGGGUGUAGCGGUGAAAUGCAUAGAUAUUCCUCAGAACACCGAUAGCGUAGGCAGCUCACCAGGUCAGCACUGACGCUGAUGCACGAAAGCGUGGGGAU
rnacentral:rRNA from 1 species